GAUGAACGCUGGCGGCGUGCCUAAUACAUGCAAGUCGAGCGAACGGACGAGAAGCUUGCUUCUCUGACGUUAGCGGCGGACGGGUGAGUAACACGUGGAUAACCUACCUAUAAGACUGGGAUAACUUCGGGAAACCGUAGCUAAUACCGGAUAAUAUUUUGAACCGCAUGGUUCAAAAGUGAAAGCCGGUCUUGCUGUCACUUAUAGAUGGAUCCGCGCUGCAUUAGCUAGUUGGUAAGGUAACGGCUUACCAAGGCAACGAUGCAUAGCCGACCUGAGAGGGUGAUCGGCCACACUGGAACUGAGACACGGUCCAGACUCCUACGGGAGGCAGCAGUAGGGAAUCUUCCGCAAUGGGCGAAAGCCUGACGGAGCAACGCCGCGUGAGUGAUGAAGGUCUUCGGAUCGUAAAACUCUGUUAUUAGGGAGGAACAUAUGUGUAAGUAACUGUGCACAUCUUGACGGUACCUAAUCAGAAAGCCACGGCUAACUACGUG
rnacentral:rRNA from 1 species